ACGGAAGGCAGCAGUGGGGAAUAUUGCACAAUGGGGGAAACCCUGAUGCAGCGACGCCGCGUGAGUGAAGAAGUAUUUCGGUAUGUAAAGCUCUAUCAGCAGGGAAGAAAAUGACGGUACCUGACUAAGAAGCCCCGGCUAACUACGUGCCAGCAGCCGCGGUAAUACGUAGGGGGCAAGCGUUAUCCGGAUUUACUGGGUGUAAAGGGAGCGUAGACGGUUCUGCAAGUCUGAUGUGAAAGGCAGGGGCUCAACUCCUGGACUGCAUUGGAAACUGUAGAACUAGAGUGCCGGAGAGGUAAGCGGAAUUCCUAGUGUAGCGGUGAAAUGCGUAGAUAUUAGGAGGAACACCAGUGGCGAAGGCGGCUUACUGGGCGGUAACUGACGUUGAGGCUCGAAAGCGUGGGGAGCAAACAGGAUUAGAUACCCUGGUA
rnacentral:rRNA from 1 species